UACGUAGGGGGCUAGCGUUGUCCGGAAUCAUUGGGCGGAAAGCGCGUGUAGGCGGUCCGGUAAGUCCGCUGUGAAAGUCGAGGGCUCAACCCUCGAAUGCCGGUGGAUACUGUCGGGCUAGAGUGCGGAAGAGGCGAGUGGAAUUCCUGGUGUAGCGGUGAAAUGCGCAGAUAUCAGGAGGAACACCUAUUGCGAAGGCAGCUCGCUGGGACGUUACUGACGCUGAGACGCGAAAGCGUGGGGAGCAAACAGG
rnacentral:rRNA from 1 species